rnacentral:sRNA from 1 species
UGCAAACUCUGUAAGGGAUCUGGUCUCC